CGCCCACUCUACGACCGCCGCCGCCCCUGGUGCCGGCGCACCUCUCGCCGCCGGCCACCCCAGCCCCAUCGCCGCCCCCGACCCCGACGCGCCUCCCGCCGCCAGCCGCCCCAACACCCAUGUUUCCCAUCGGCCCACCCCACAGGCCGCCGCCCUCCUCCAAUCGCGCCGUCGACUACCCCCUCCUCCAAUCACGUCGUCGGCCGCCCCCACCUCCAAUUGCGCCGCCGCUGGCCCCUACCACCACCGGUGCUGCGGCCAGGCCCAAUCUUCAAAACCACGCCGCCGUCGAGGCCCGACUUCCAAACGCGUCACCGCUGGGCCCCUACCUCCACUCAUGCCGCCGCCGGGCCCUGACAAGCGGCCCUCCGGCUAACCACCGCUUCCCCUCCCGCCGCACGCGCCCUCCGGCCAACUACAGCCUCCCCACCCCGCCUCGCUCGUCUCCCGGCCAACCAUCGCCUCCCCAUCCCUCUGACCUCGACCUGCAGCUGGUGGUGGUCUCGACCUGCAGCAUGGGGCGGUCUCGACCUGUAGCUGGUCCGUGCUGAUAGGGAUCAUCUUCUCUUGCAGAGAUCCAUCGACGUUCCUUACUGAUGGCUGCCCGAGCUAUGAGAAUAAUCGGCCUCGGCCGCUCACCAACACGCCCACCUGCAGUUCAGGUAUUGCCUGGCCAAUGCUAAUCGCGGCCACUGCCCUUACAAGCUGUCUCUCAUCUAGAGCUUGUCAGUACAACGGUUGUCCCAUGCAUUACUCGCUUAAAAAUUUAUUCAUGGAUGCCACCAAGAACCCACGCCUUUGCUCUCUCUCUCAAUUUGGUUAAACAUAUAGCAAUAUUCUUGUGUACUAAUUGACUUUAUGGCCAAGUUUUCUCUGUACGUGAUGCUACUAAUCUAAUAUUGGAAAAGAUUUCCCAUGAGAUGAGUGUGUAUCAGGGUUGAAAAUUUUAUUUUAAGAUCCUCUUGUGGUCUUUGAGGACUCAAAUCAUGUAUUCUGUACACAUGAGUGAAUUUCAGUUUGCCGGAGAAGAGACAUUUCCAUGGCCGAUGUUGGCUGUUCGUGCAUGGACGUGCCUGUAUUCCAUUUGAAAACCUGGGAGCAUGCCCAAAAAGUUUAGAAAUAUCAAUGGUAAAAGUUAGAAUAUUUGGAGGUUGAUGCUUCGUGUGUAUAUACAUGGGUGCACAUUUUCUUUUUCAUGAUAUCUAGUUCAACAAUGCCGUAAAUUCCUCUGGAAUUUGUUCCAUUUAGCAAUUUGUGUUAUGAUGAUUCAGUACUUGUUGUUUACAAAAAAUGCCCUUUUUUGCAGCAAAAUGUUUGUGAAAAAAAUGUAGUGAAAAAUUGUGCUCUCAUGAGUGUUUGAUAUGUUCACAAAAAGUGUUUUGAUGAAUUGGUUUAUUUGAAGUUCAAAUUGAUUUGUUGAAGAAGGUCGACUCUAUCCUGGACAGCACACAACCUCCUCCCAGUGGGGCCCAUCACGCGCAGGUCGUUCGUCGCUGCCACCUCCGGCCGUUCAACUACGUAGCGCUAAGACGUUCACCGCCAUCAGAAACAGCGACGAGCACGAAGACACCCUCUCAUGCUCAGUGCUCUGUCCGGCAUAACACAAGAAGUUCAUGUAAAACAGCUGCGAACAUUCAAGUAAAUCAAAGAAUAUACUCAUGUGUGCAUAUAGAUGAGUUCUCACCUACCCAUUUUGCUCUCGAUGGUGCUGCUGUAGUUCAGCUUGAGUGUGUUGAGAGAGAUUAGCUGAUGUUGUUGUCCUUGUUUUUUCUGAGAGAGAUUAGCUCGCCCCUCCUCCAUCGAUGGCCUACACUGGCCGCUAGAAUCCAUCCAGGUGCUGGCCGUCAUCCUCUAUCUUCAAUUACGGGUCAGCAACAGCGUUGCGAAUAGAAAGGGCCCGGUGAAGUUCAAUUUGUUUUGCUUUUUGAAGUUCUGUUUGUUGAUUUUCUGAAGUUUGGAUUGUUAAUUUUUUGAAGAGAAAGGUUGCUUCACUUGCACUCCUCUAUCUAGUCCUGUGUGGUGAUAUCCUCGACUCCUCCUCGGUUCGGAGCUAGCAACGGUUCUUCAACUUCCCUGCUGUGUUGUCGCGAUUGUUGCAGAGACAAAUUUUAUACUUUGUUCAUCUAUGGUGCCAAGUUGAGCGGACACCGUAGCACUCGAGAAGAUGGGGAGAGGAUGUGUGGUGAAGAGAAAACAUAGGGUUUCAAAUUGUCCAUUGGUGGUUGCAUCUAAUCAUUUUACCAAAGUGUAACGGACAUGUGUAUGUAUGUACAGUAGCAUAUUUUACUUGAACCGAGUUAUUUUUUUUAAUGCACGAAGUUUGUGCAGCCAAAAAACAUGUAUUAAACUGGUUUUUGUGUAUUUUUCUAACCUUUUCUACACCUUUCUACGAGA